GACGAACGCUGGCGGCGUGCUUAACACAUGCAAGUCGAACGGAAAGGCCCUGCUUUUGUGGGGUGCUCGAGUGGCGAACGGGUGAGUAACACGGGAGUAACCUGCCCUUGACUUUGGGAUAACUUCAGGAAACUGGGGCUAAUACCUGAUAGGAGCUCCUGCUGCAUGGUGGGGGUUGGAAAGUUUAGGCGGUUGGGGAUGGACUCGCGGCUUAUCAGCUUGUUGGUGGGGUAGUGGCUUACCAAGGCUUUGACGGGUAGCCGGCAUGAGAGGGUGACCAGCGACAAUGGGACUGAGAGACGGAGCAGACUCCUACGGGAGGCAGCAGUGGGGAAUAUGGCACAAUGGGCGGACGCCUGAUGCAGCAACGCCGCGUGCGGGAUGACGGCCUUCGGGUUGUAAACCGCUUUCGCCUGUGACGAAGCGUGAGUGACGGUAAUGGGUAAAGAAGCACCGGCUAACUACGUG
rnacentral:rRNA from 1 species